UUUUUGGACCUUUCUCAUAAAGACUCAAAAGAGGCAGAGACAGGAAAAUACAUUGUGUAACUAAUUGUUCUUGAGCGGUAUAUGAAGAUUCACAGCCUGCAAAUGAGAAGAGCAUCCGGCUCAGGAACUGGGAGGCUGCCCGGCCACCCCUGUGGCCACCUCUCCUCACACCUCGUCCCCCCGCCGUCCUCCUGCUGCCACCGCCAGCACAGCGAGGACAUGGGGGGCCGGAGAGGUCUCGGUGGUUGUGGAUCGGGGCUGUCCCCCUCCGGGGUGCCCUUCUGCACCUCCCCGGGGGCUCGGCCAAGCCCUGCUCGUUGCGGUGGGCUCCUGAGACAGGGCACCGCCGCGGGACAGUGCUUCGCUGGGAGGACGGGGGCUCUGGGCUCUCGUGGUGUCUGCUACCUGGGCAUCGCUGCCAUCACAUGGGGCAUGGUGACGCAGGUGGAGGCCUGGACGUACAGCUACAGCGACCCAGGGCUCUACUCGUGGGAGCAGGCCAGGAACUACUGCCGGACCUUCUUCACCGACCUGGUGGCCAUCCAGAACAAGGAGGAGAUCGCCUACCUCAACGCCACCCUGCCCUUCCUCAGGCAGUACUACUGGAUCGGCAUCCGCAAGCAGGGCGGCGUCUGGACCUGGGUGGGCACCAACAAGGUGCUGACCAAGGAGGCGGAGAACUGGGCCAGGGGGGAGCCCAACAACCGCCGCUCCAACCAGGACUGCGUGGAGAUCUACAUCAAGCGGCAGCAGGAGGCGGGCAAGUGGAACGACGAGCCCUGCAACAAGAAGAAGACGGCGCUGUGCUACAAAGCCUCCUGCCAGGCCUCCACCUGCCGCCCGCACGGGGAGUGUGUGGAGGUCAUCAAGAGCUACAGGUGCGAGUGCCACCCCGGUUUUGAAGGGGACGAUUGCAGUAUUGCCGUGCAGUGCCCCACGCUCGAUGCCCAAGGAGCACUCAUGACCUGCAGCCAUCCCUUUGGGGACUUCCGAUACAACUCCACCUGCGAUUUCGGGUGCCCGGAGGGGUUCGAGCGGCGAGGUGAGGGCACGCUGCGGUGCCUGGCUUCACGGCAGUGGUCAGCGGAGACCCCCACGUGUGCAGCCGUUGCCUGCCCCGAGCUGGCGGCUCCCGAAAGCGGCCGGGUCAAUUGCUCCCACCCACACGGAGCCUCUGCCUUCAGCUCCACGUGUGACUUCUCCUGCCAGGAGGGCUUUGAGGUGACGGGACCGGAGAGACUGUGGUGCACGGCUGAGGGGGCUUGGUCGGGGGCUCCCCCGCACUGCAAAGCCAUCACCUGCCCAGUGCUCAGGGCUCCAGAGCACGGAGAGAUGAGCUGCUCCCACCUUCAUGACAACUUCAGCUUCAGUUCCACAUGUGCCUUCUCCUGCCAGCCAGGGUUUGAGCUCAUGGGGCCAGAAAGCAUUGAAUGCACAGCCAUGGGGACCUGGUCUGGGGACACCCCACAGUGCAAAGCCAUCACCUGCCCGGUGCUCAGGGCUCCAGAGCACGGAGAGAUGAGCUGCUCCCACCUUCAUGACAACUUCAGCUUCAGUUCCACAUGUGCCUUCUCCUGCCACCCAGGGUUUGAGCUCAUAGGGCCAGAAAGCAGUGCAUGCACAGCCAUGGGGACCUGGUCUGGGGACAACCCACAAUGCAAAGCCAUCACCUGCCCAGUGCUCAGGGCUCCAGAGCAUGGAGAGAUGAACUGCUCCCACCUUCACGAGAACUUCAGCUUCAGUUCCACGUGUGCAUUUUCCUGCCAGCCAGGGUUUGAGCGCAUGGGGCCAGAGAGCCGUGAGUGCACAGCCAUGGGGACCUGGUCUGGGGAUGCCCCACAAUGCAAAGCCAUCACCUGCCCAGUGCUCAGGGCUCCAGAUCAUGGAGAGAUGAGCUGCUCCCACCUUCACGGGAACUUCAGCUUCAGUUCCACGUGUGCAUUUUCGUGCCAGCCAGGGUUUGAGCUCAUAGGGCCAGAGAGCCGUGAGUGCACAGCCAUGGGAACCUGGUCCGGGGAAACCCCACAAUGCAAAGCCAUCACCUGCCCGAUGCGCAGAGCUCCAGAGCAUGGAGAGAUGAACUGCUCCCACCUACAUGACAACUUCAGCUUCAAUUCCACGUGUGCCUUCUCCUGCCAGCCAGGGUUUGAGCUCAUAGGGCCAGAAAGCAGUGCAUGCACAGCCAUGGGGACCUGGUCUGGGGACACCCCACAGUGCAAAGCCAUCACCUGUCCAGUGCUCAGGGCUCCAGAGCAUGGAAGGAUGAGCUGCUCCCACCUUCAUGACAACUUCAGCUUCAAUUCCACGUGUGCAUUCUCCUGCCAGCCAGGGUUUGAGCUCAUAGGGCCAGAGAGCCAUGAGUGCACAGCCAUGGGGACCUGGUCCGGAGACAUCCCACAAUGCAAAGCCAUCACCUGCCCGGUGCUCAGGGCUCCAGAGCAUGGAGAGAUGAACUGCUCCCACCUUCACGAGAACUUCAGCUUCAGUUCCACAUGUGCAUUCUCCUGCCAGCCAGGGUUUGAGCUCAUAGGGCCAGCGAGCCGUGACUGCACAGCCAUGGGGACCUGGUCCAGAGACACCCCACAGUGCAAAGCCAUCACCUGCCCAAUGCUCAGGGCUCCAGAACAUGGAAGGAUGAACUGCUCCCAUCUCUAUGGGAGCUUCACCUUCACCUCCACGUGUGCCUUCUCCUGCCAGCCAGGGUUUGAGCUGAAAGGGUCACAGAGCCGUGCAUGCAUGGCCAUGAGAACCUGGACUGGGGACACCCCACGAUGCAGAGCCAUCAGCUGCCCAGUGCUGGAGCCCCCGAGCCGAGGCCACCUGAACUGCUCUCACCCCCACGGCAAUUUCACGUACAACUCCACCUGCGCCUUUUCCUGUGAGGAUGGAUUUGUCCGGAUGGGAGCAAGGCUGCUCAGGUGUCAGGCCACAGGGAACUGGACUGGCCAUUCCCCUGUCUGCAAAGAGGAUGCUGCCGCCUUCUUAAAGCAAGUCCUGGUUUACACCAGCAGCAGUGCUCUGGUGGUAGCUGGCGUGGUGCUCUCUGGGACGCUCCUUGCCUUGCUCGCCAAACGGCUCAGUGACAGAGAGGAGAAGAAGAAGCUCCUGAACCCCACCAGCGACCUCGGAUCACCAGGCAUCUUCACCAACGCAGCCUACGACUCCAACUUGUGAGGUGCGUGCCGGCACGCUGCCACCUCACAGCACGCUGGCGACAUCCCUUGCUCUGAACAAGCUGUGUAUGGAAAACCUACGAGCUUGCAGGCUCCUCCACCUGAAGCAGGGAAUGCCGUGCUGUGAGGGCCAUCACCCCGCUGCCCCAUGUGUGUGGAGGAGACCCCAGAGCUCAGCCACGGACCUUCAGCUUGUGUGGGAAAGGGGGGAAGCCCCCGGCUGGGUUUUGGGGGGCAAUAAAUAAAUAAAUGUGUGUGUGUGUUUGA